rnacentral:lncRNA from 1 species
UUUUCCUCUCUGAAGCCAGCUUUCAAGACCUUUCUCUUCAUUUUAUUUUUCCACAUCAAUUCUGUUUUUCUUUUAUUUUUCUUCAGCAACAUUGUUUUCUUUUACCGUUCAGAGCUUUGAUUUUCCCUUUUCGUUUUUCAUUUAUCCAAAGUAGUAGUUUCCUACACUGGGGAACUACUGCAAAUUUAUUUAAUUUAGUUUAAGCAAUUAUUUCGAAGAAGCGGAAUCCUACCGACCUGUGGAGGACUGCUUAAGUACUUCAAG